AUACGGAGGGUGCAAGCGUUAUCCGGAAUCAUUGGGUUUAAAGGGUCCGCAGGCGGUCAAUUAAGUCAGAGGUGAAAUCCCAUAGCUUAACUAUGGAACUGCCUUUGAUACUGGUUGACUUGAGUUAUACGGAAGUAGAUAGAAUGUGUAGUGUAGCGGUGAAAUGCAUAGAGAUUACACAGAAUACCGAUUGCGAAGGCAGUCUACUACGUAUAUACUGACGCUCAUGGACGAAAGCGUGGGGAGCGAACAGGAUUAGAAACCCCAGUAGUCC
rnacentral:rRNA from 1 species